CCUGGAGGCCUCCUGGAUGGAGCCGCUGCUCCGGAUCGAAGCUCAGCCCCUGGCCACUGUGGAGGGUGUGGAAAUGAGGGGGCCUCACCAGGAGCCCUGCUCCCUAACUCUAGCCCAGAGGAAAGGGCAAUAUGAGUUCAUAAUCCAGUUGCACAAAAAGGAACAGCGUGUUCAAGAUAUCAUUCCUAUAAAUAGCCACUUUAGAAGUGUUCAAGAAACAGAAGAAACUCUUUUGAUUGACACAGCAUCAAGCAGUGGCUGCAAAAUUUGGUUUCAGGGGGACUGGAGCAGAGAGCGCCGCUUUGAAAUCCCUGAUGAAGAACUCUGCUUGAAGUUUCUUUCAGAAGUCCUUGCUGCUCAGGAAGCUCAGUUACACCUUCUUGUUCCAGAGCAAAAGGAGUCAUCCAGUUGGUACCAGAAAUUAGACACUAAAGAUAAGCCUGGGUUUUCAGGGCCUUUUGGAUUUGAGGAUAAUUUUUUCAGCUAUGAAUUUGGACAAGAGAAGAAAUACACAAAAUCAGCCUACAGGGACUCACCGGAAACCCCCACCUCCACCCUGCUCCGUCAGUAAAAUGCUACCACGUGAAAAAGAAGUAACUAACAAGGAACAGCCCAAAGUGACCAACACCAUGCUCUUUGUCCCAAGUAACCAGUCUGGGCAGAGGAAGGGUCUCAUCAAGCAUAUCCUGGCAAAGCGUGAGAAAGAAUGUGUUAACAUUCAGGCUUUCAAAUUUUUCGUUGGAACUUGGAGUGUGAAUGGCCAGUGUCCAGACAGUGGAUUAGAACCUUGGCUCAAUUGCGACUUGAAUCCUCCUGAUGUCUACUGAAUUGGAUUCCAGGAACUGGACUUGAGCACAGAAGCCUUUUUCUAUUUUGAAUCUGUAAAGGAGCAAGAGUGGUCCAUGGCUGUAGAAAGAGGUUUGCACUCUAAAGCCAAGUAUAAGAAAGUUCAACUAGUCCGCCUUGUUGGUAUGAUGCUCCUUAUAUAUACCAGGAAGGACCAAUGGCGGCAUAUCAGUGAUGUUAUCACAGAAACAGUUGGAACCGGAAUCAUGGGAAAAAUGGGCAACAAGGGCGGGGUGGCUGUGAGAUUUGUAUUUCACAACACUACAUCCUGCAUUGUCAAUUCUCACCUGGCUGCCCACCUGGAGGACUUUGAGAGACGGAACCAAGAUUAUAAGGACAUCUGUGCUCGAAUGAGUUUUGUGGUCCCAAAUCAGACUGUCCCUCAGCGGAACAUCACGAAACACGAUGGGAAAUGUCGAGUUCCAGCCUGGUGUGACAGAAUUCUUUGGAGAGGAGCAAAUGUUAGUCAACUUCAUUACCAGAGUCACAUGGAACUGAAAACCAGUGAUCACAAACCUGUGAUCGCGCUCUUCAAUAUUGGGGUAAAGGUUGUGGAUGAACGGAGGUAUCGGAAAGUCUUUGAAGAUAUUGUCUGCAUCAUGGACAGGAUGGAAAAUGAAUUCCUUCCUUCGGUAGAACUCAGCAGAAGGGAAUUUGUGUUUGAGAAUGUGAAGUUUUGGCAACUGCAAAAGGAGAAGUUCCCUGCCAUUUUUCUUUCAUCCCUAAACUUAAUGACAGCCAGUACUGCAAGCCAUGGCUUCGGGCUGAACCUUUUGAGGGCUACUUGGAGCCAAAUGUAACUAUAGACAUUUCCCUUGAUGUGUAUGUCAGCAAAGACUCUGUAACUAUCCUGAACUCAGGGGAAGAUAAGAUUGAAGAUAUUCUUGUCCUUCACCUGGAUCAAGGCAAAGAUUACUUCCUGAAGAUCAGUGGAAAUUACCUCCCAAGUUGCUUUGGAACAUCCUUAGAGGCUUUGUGCCGAAUGAAGAGAUCUAUUCAAGAAGUUCCUAUUACCAAACUCAUAGACUUGGAAGAAGACAGCUUCCUAGAAAAGGAGGAAUCUCUCUUCUGUAGAUGGUUCCCUUGGAAGAAGGUGCUAGUGAGAGGUCUCUUCAGGUCCCCAAGGAGAUCUGGCUCCUAGUUGAUCACUUAUUUAAAUACACCUGCCACCAGGAGGACCUAUUCCAGACCCCUGGCAUGCAAGAGGAGUUACAGCAGAUCAUAGACUGUCUGGAUACCAGCAUUCCCGAGACGAUCCCUGGCAGUAAUCACUCAGUGACUGAAGCACUGCUCAUUUUCCUGGAAGCCCUGCCAGAGCCAGUCAUCUGUUACGAGCUGUAUCAGUGUUGCCUCGACUCUGCCCAUGACCCUUGGGUCUGGCGGCAGGUGAUUUCACAACUUCCAAGAUGCCAUAGAAACGUUUUCCAUUACUUGAUGGCUUUCCUUCGAGAACUCUUGAAAUUCUCGGAAUACAACAAUGUCAGCGCCAACAUGAUCACUACUCUCUUCACUAGUCUUCUCCUAAGGCCACCACUCAACCUCAUGGCAAGACAGACUCCAAGCAACCGCCAGCAUGCUAUCCAGUUCCUUCUGAGUUUCCUGCUGGGGAAUGAUGAAGACUAA